rnacentral:rRNA from 1 species
UACGUAGGGCGCGAGCGUUGUCCGGAAUUAUUGGGCGUAAAGAGCUCGUAGGCGGCCUGUCGCGUCGGUUGUGAAAGCCCGGGGCUCAACCCCGGGUCUGCAGUCGAUACGGGCAGGCUAGAGUUCGGUAGGGGAGAUCGGAAUUCCUGGUGUAGCGGUGAAAUGCGCAGAUAUCAGGAGGAACACCGGUGGCGAAGGCGGAUCUCUGGGCCGAUACUGACGCUGAGAAGCGAAAGCAUGGGGAGCGAACAGG